rnacentral:misc_RNA from 1 species
GCCUGUUGUAUGGAGUGCCUCAGGCUGGUUCCAGAACAAGAUAAGCUUGUGCAGGAUUGGUGCUAUUCCAGACAAGCCCAUGCCAGAGAAGAGAGCUGCUCGUAUGGUGCGAAACUCUGGCGUUUGAAACAUUGGCAGGAGAGAAACCAAGAUUGUGGCAAUUCCCAAUAUGGUUAUGAAUCCCAAAUAGAGAUUGCAGAAGAAAG